rnacentral:rRNA from 1 species
GACGAACGCUGGCGGCGUGCCUAAUACAUGCAAGUCGAACGCAUUUUCUUUCACCGUAGCUUGCUACACCGAAAGAAAAUGAGUGGCGAACGGGUGAGUAACACGUGGGUAACCUGCCCAUCAGCGGGGGAUAACACUUGGAAACAGGUGCUAAUACCGCAUAAUUCCAUUUACCGCAUGGUAAAUGGAUGAAAGUCGCUUUUGUGUCACUGAUGGCUGGACCCGCGGUGCCUUAGCUAGUUGGUGGGGUAACGGCCUACCAAGGCUGCGAUGCAUAGCCGACCUGAGAGGGUGAUCCGCCACACUGGGACUGGGACACGGCCCAGACUCCUACGGGAGGCAGCAGUAGGGAAUCUUCGGCAAUGGACGCAAGUCUGACCGAGCAACGCCGCGUGAUUGAAGAAGGUUUUCGGAUCGUAAAACUCUGUUGUUAGAGAAGAACAAGGAUGAGAGUGGAAAGUUCAUCCCUUGACGGUAUCUAACCAGAAAGCCACGGCUAACUACGUG